UCACCAGCACGAUCUUGCACGUGUGGACUCGAAGACGGGAUGAGCGGAACAUGGUGGUGGUGGUGGUGGGGACAGAUAAGGUAAUUAAAGGUAGGGUAGGUUAGGUAUUGUAAGGUAAGGUAAUGAGGUAAGGGUAUGUUAGAUAAGGUAAGGUAAGGUAAGGUAAAGGUAGGAAUGUGUUGGUAAUAGGAGAGUAAAUGGAAGCUUUUACAUGUGAUGGUUUUCAAUAUACUAACGUUUGACUGUUUAUGUCCGUGGAUUAGUUUUUAUUUGUUUUUGCGUUUGUUUAGUGGAAUGUAAAACGACACACACACUUACUCUUUUUGGUGCUGUUGUGUGUGUUUGUGUUCAAGUUGGUUCCGUUACAAUUAGUUUACGGGUUGGAUGGAAUGUCGGUGGGUGGUUUUUG